UGUGGGAGCGAGCUUGCUCGCGAUGGCGUCAGCUCUGUCGCAUUGAUGUUGACUGAAGCACCGCUAUCGCGAGCAGGCUCGCUCCCACA
rnacentral:misc_RNA from 1 species